rnacentral:rRNA from 1 species
AAGCGGUGGAGCAUGUGGUUUAAUUUGAAGCAACGACGAAGAACCUUACCAGGUCUUGACAUCCCCUGACAACCCAAGAGAUUGGGCGUUCCCCUUCGGGGGACAGGGUGACAGGUGGUGCAUGGUUGUCGUCAGCUCGUGUCGUGAGAUGUUGGGUUAAGUCCCGCAACGAGCGCAACCCUCGCCUCUAGUUGCCAGCAUUCAGUUGGGCACUCUAAGGUGACUGCCGGCUAAAAGUCGGAGGAAGGUGGGGAUGACGUCAAAUCAUCAUGCCCCUUAUGACCUGGGCUACACACGUGCUACAAUGGGCGGUACAAAGGGUCGCGAACCCGCGAGGGGGAGCCAAUCCCAAAAAGCCGCUCUCAGUUCGGAUUGCAGGCUGCAACUCGCCUGCAUGAAGCCGGAAUCGCUAGUAAUCGCGGAUCAGCAUGCCGCGGUGAAUACGUUCCCGGGCCUU